AUAACAAAGCAGAACAGAAAGCCAAAGAGAUGAUCCUUACUUUUGCACGUUUUGCACCUUGACUUUUUUAUACUUUUGCCGGCAGUAUUUUGUGGUGGUUAUUAUUAUCGUGAUGGUGAUGAUAGAUAUAUACAUAUAUACAAAUAAAUACGUUUUCAAACGAUGGCAGUGGAAGGUUUUUCUGGAGAAUGAAGUGCGGUUUGGUUUCCUUGUCAACGGAAGAUGAAGUGAACAACUGAACAUCUCCCCAGUGCAGAAUGAGGCAAACUUCUGCAUGUACUUCAGCUUUGAAUCACAACACUAAUUAGGGAACAUCUCUAAAGGUAUUCAAGAGAGUUGACUCCUUUGCUUUACUGCAGCUGAGUCAGGUUCAGGAUUAAGGACAAGUGACCCAACCAUGACCGGCAAAACACAGACCAGCAACGUCACCAAUAAGAAUGACCCAAAGUCCAUCAACUCCAGAGUCUUCAUUGGCAACCUGAACACAGCAAUUGUCAAAAAGAGUGACAUUGAAGCAAUCUUUGCAAAGUAUGGGAAAAUAGUUGGCUGCUCAGUGCACAAAGGUUAUGCAUUUGUACAGUACAUGAGCGAAAGGCACGCAAGGGCUGCAGUGGCAGGAGAGAAUGCCAGGAUCAUCGCGGGACAGCCACUAGAUAUCAACAUGGCAGGAGAACCGAAACCAUACAGACCAAAACCUGGCAACAAGCGGCCACUUUCAGCACUUUACAGACUUGAAUCAAAGGAGCCUUUUCUGUCCGUUGGUGGUUAUGUCUUUGAUUAUGAUUACUACAGAGAUGAUUUCUACAAUCGGUUGUUUGAUUACCACGGCCGUGUCCCCCCACCACCCCGUGCAGUGAUUCCACUAAAGCGUCCUCGUGUGACUGUGACAACAACUCGCAGAGGCAAAGGGGUUUUCUCCAUGAAAGGAGCAUCACGAUCCACCUCAAGUGGGGCAUCUUCCUCAGGAUCCAAAUCACCCACCUGCCUUCCCCUGCCCCUUAUGUGGAGUGAUACAGUCCUUGGAAGCGUCACUGGAAGAGGAAGAGAAAGAUCAGUGAAAUCAGAUGAGUUGCAAACCAUCAAGAAGGAAUUAACCCAAAUCAAAACAAAAAUUGACUCAUUGCUAGGGAGACUGGAAAAGAUUGAAAAGCAGCAAAAAGCUGAAGCAGAAGCUCAAAAGAAACAAAUGGAAGAUAAUGCUGAUUUGAUUCAAGAGGAAUGCAUAUCAGAGAAUGCAGAUAACUCUACAGAAGAGCCAAUUGAAGGAGGGCCAGAUGCAGAUGGGGAUGGAGAAGAUAUGACUGAUGGGAUAGAGGAGGAUUUUGAUGAGGAUGGCAGCAAUGAGCUGAUGGAGGCACUAUUCUAAGUCACGUGGUACUUAAUAGGAGAUGUCAUGUUUUAAAUCAAGGGGGACAAAUCACAAAAAUGUAUCUCAAGCACAACUGUGGAGUCAAUGUGGUAGGUGAUAGAAAUUCAAAGUUCUUAGAAAGUGAUGUACACCAGUCACAAAAUCUACUUGCCAAAGCAUAGUCAGACACCAACAGCAGCCUGGGAAGGUGUCAGGCAUCAAGCCUCCUACUCAACAGGAGCCUGUCAGAGGUAGAAAUGUGAUUUUACCUGAAACCAAGCAGUGUUUCUACAGAUCAAGUGAUGAGAUGUCAUGUGUGAACCCCCUGAAGGCUAAGAAGAGAAACUCUGACUCUCCCACAAACGGUGAACUGCAGUUUCUUACUGUCUAGCAACACCUUUGAUUCAAUUUGUAUGAAAACUCAAUUUACUUAUUAAAAUGGACGUUAUUGUUCAAAUAUUAGAAAUUCCAUUUCUUAUAUGUUCUAAGCUGUACAAUUGUCAGAUUUUUAUGGUUUAGAUUGUAAAAGUGUUUUUCUCUGGCUAAUUAUUGGUAUUAUUUUUUUAAUUUUGAUGUCUUAAAGGAUAAUGUACUGUAUCAUAAUAUUAUGAAGGACAUAUUUAACAGAUGUGGGAAACACUGUAUACAAAUGUAUAUUUCUAAAAGCUAUUUUUAUGAUUAGCAUGUUUUACCAUAUUUAGAGUCAGGUGAUAUUGCACUUAUUUGUUUACAGCUUAAUUCAAACAAGAUCACAAUUAAAUACAUUGUGUGGUAUUUUCCAUUAUUUUAUUUAUUAAUCAUUGGGAACAAUUAUGUUUACUAACAGGGGCAACUGCUAAAAAGUAAAAUUGUGAAGGCAAUCCUUCAUGAAGUGUAAGUUGGAUCCUUCUGUAAAACCCUUUCUUCAGCUAAACAAUGCCUCUGAUGUCAUUCACUAGACAGUAGUCACAGCUCUUCUUGCAGGUCUCUGAAGGCACAUCGUGGUUACCGUAUGGAAAGUUUACAUGACAGUCAGUUUCCUGUCUAGCCAGGUAAAUUACUUAUAGUCUGCCAAUAUCUGACAACCUGAGCUACUCUACUGAUUAUUUUUUGGGUUUACUUUCUGGCAGUAGUCUUUCUACCCCUGAACACGCUAAAGCUCUGCUUAAAGCCUCUAGCUGGACUAAUUAACUAUUACAGAUGUCAUAGGGGGAAUCUUAGUCUAGAAUUUCUUAAUAAAUCAUAUUUUCUUUCACAUAGAAUGAAUACAUUAUUUCUCUUGUGUUAAAGGUAUCAAACAAUAUAUAAUAUGGGCUCAAAGUCUCUAGUUCACCAUCCCAAAGGGAGACCUCCUUAGCACUGCAGAUUACACAAAACAAGAACAAAUAAGGAUCUGCAUCCUUAUAUGUUAUAUACUCCUGCAGAAAGACACAUAUCUUUAAAGUGAUUACAGAGGAAAAAAGACUUAAUGGUUGGAGCCUUUCAAGAGUGAGAGACAGUAAUUUAGGAAAUACUCUUAGCCAGUCAAAUGGAUCUCAAACCCAGCUAUGGGCCAGUCUACAGCACAGGCCCUAAUAUCUACUGGUAACAGUGGCCAGUGGUAUUGGGUAUCAUCUAGCAUUACAAAGGUGAACCAUUGCCUUGCCCUUUCAAUCAUACUUAGAAGGUUGAAAGCGAGAGAAAAAUAAUUGUACCAGGGAGACUCUUGAAUAGGUCAAAAAUUUGGUUUCUGUAAAACCCAGCAUUUUCUGAGAUGACAGGGAUAUAAGGAGGUGGGAGGUUGAGGUCUUCAGUCAGGUUUACAGCAAGGGGAAUGUCAUCAAAGGAUUGAUAUUCUCCAAAUAAUUGGAAGAAGAGCAUACAUUUGAAUAUAAUUAUCUGAGUGGGACUGUACUUCACUAGGAGACUAUGUAACAUAGCAUUCUCAGUUAUGUUUGUGUGUAUUUGGGUCGUUUAUUGUCUGUGGAGUUACAUAAUUUAUCUAAGUGCUAAUUAAUUAAGGAAAGAAUAAUAUAAAUAAUUACACCUGAGCAUAAGGAAUUACCACUUCAGAGUCCACUAAAGCUGACUCUUUUCUGAAAGUGCAGCAAAAGAAAUAUUAAUUCUAUGUGAGUGAAAUUUUAGAUCAAUCAAAGGGUGAUUUUUUAAAUACCUACCCCACCCCCUUUCUAUCCAUUAGUAUAGGUUAUGAUCACUUUUAACUGUAAAACACAUGAAAACAGUUGCCAUUUUGGGAUUUCCAUCUUUGGCUGACAAAAAAAAAAACCACAAACAACAAAGCCAGAGCUUAUUACCAAUGCCAGUUACAGAAACUGUUGGCUCACUUGAAGAUGCAGAAUGCUGUCCAAAGAGAUGAGUUCUGAUGUUGAUGUUAAUAAACUAUGUGUGAGAAACAGCUAGGUGUAUCAUCUCUUCACCACCUCCAUUCAAAAUGAACUAAUAAUCACAGAAAGCACUCCAUUAGACUUUUACAAAUUCUUUCCAGUUAUUACCCCUAGAUUAUAUAUUCACAGGAAUGAUUGCACUGUUGUAAUGCUGAUGGUCUUUGACACCACAGUUUAAGUCCUGAAUAUAUUUUGAGCACAGAAAACCACCUCUGAUAACACUGUGAGGCAGUACUUCAUUUGCAAGCCAGAAGCUGGUGCAGUCAAUUACUAGCAAGGUUUCUUAACGGCACAUUUGCUUCAAAUCACUACAGAGGAUGUUGGUAGCUUCAGCAGAGCUUGGCAGUUCUCUGCUUUCCAUGGUAUACAGUAUGCUUGGUGUCGUUUGCCAUCACUGCCUAUUGUUUUACAUGGGUUUUGUCAGUUAUGUUUUGUUUCCAGUUUUUGUUUUGUUCAGCCCUUGCAAUAUGGAACAAUAAGAAAGGAUUUGGUCAUACAAUUUGGAUGGUCAACAGUCUUAUAAAAUUCUCUAUGGACACUAUCAAUCAAUUUUCUACACAGACCAAUACACUCUGUGCAUUUCAGAGAUUUGUUUCAAACCUGUGCAGCUGCAUGAAUGGAAAAUAUUUACUAAAAAGCUUUAACGUUUGGAACAAAAAAAAAUAAUUUUUACUUUUGUAAACUCUUGUAUUUCAUAUUAUUGCAGUUCUUAGUUUUCUCUGUAGAUCCAUUCUGAGUUCUGGGAAAUCAUUGCACUUAAACUAUGUAGAUAGCUACAAUAUUGUAAGCAGUCAUAUUUUUAAUAGGUGCCAUGGCAAGUUAGAAUAAAAACAUUCAGGGUUUGCCCAUGUAGAGCAGAUUGAUGGUUCAUUACAGUUUUCUUUAAAAUAUUGUAACAUAAUUUUUACAUGUCUGUAAAUAAAUAUUUUCUCUGAUUUAUGCACUAA